CAUUAGCCGCGGUAAUACAGAGGGUGCGAGCGUUAAUCGGAUUUACUGGGCGUAAAGCGUGCGUAGGCGGCUUUUUAAGUCGGAUGUGAAAUCCCUGAGCUUAACUUAGGAAUUGCAUUCGAUACUGGGAAGCUAGAGUAUGGGAGAGGAUGGUAGAAUUCCAGGUGUAGCGGUGAAAUGCGUAGAGAUCUGGAGGAAUACCGAUGGCGAAGGCAGCCAUCUGGCCUAAUACUGACGCUGAGGUACGAAAGCAUGGGGAGCAAACAGGAUUAGAGACCCCUGUAGUCCCUGUCUCUUAUAC
rnacentral:rRNA from 1 species